rnacentral:rRNA from 1 species
GAUGAACGCUGGCGGCGUGCUUAACACAUGCAAGUCGAACGGGAAUUACUUUAUUGAAACUUCGGUCGAUUUAAUUUAAUUCCAGUGGCGGACGGGUGAGUAACGCGUGGGUAACCUGCCUUAUACAGGGGGAUAACAGUCAGAAAUGGCUGCUAAUACCGCAUAAGCGCACAGAGCUGCAUGGCUCGGUGUGAAAAACUCCGGUGGUAUAAGAUGGACCCGCGUUGGAUUAGCUUGUUGGUGGGGUAACGGCCCACCAAGGCGACGAUCCAUAGCCGGCCUGAGAGGGUGAACGGCCACAUUGGGACUGAGACACGGCCCAGACUCCUACGGGAGGCAGCAGUGGGGAAUAUUGCACAAUGGGGGGAACCCUGAUGCAGCGACGCCGCGUGAAGGAAGAAGUAUCUCGGUAUGUAAACUUCUAUCAGCAGGGAAGAUAGUGACGGUACCUGACUAAGAAGCCCCGGCUAAUUACGUGCCAGCCGCCGCCGUAACAC